GACGGAGGGGGCUAGCGUUGUUCGGAAUGACUGGGCGUAAAGGGCGCGUAGGCGGCUUUAUAAGUCGGGGGUGAAAGCCUGUGGCUCAACCACAGAAUUGCCUUCGAUACUGUAGAGCUUGAGACCGGAAGAGGUAAGUGGAACUGCGAGUGUAGAGGUGAAAUUCGUAGAUAUUCGCAAGAACACCAGUGGCGAAGGCGGCUUACUGGUCCGGUUCUGACGCUGAGGCGCGAAAGCGUGGGGAGCAAACAGG
rnacentral:rRNA from 1 species